CCUACGGGAGACAGCAGUGAGGAAUAUUGGUCAAUGGCCGUAAGGCUGAACCAGCCAAGUCGCGUGAAGGAAGAAGGAUCUAUGGUUUGUAAACUUCUUUUAUAGGGGAAUAAAGGUAUCCACGUGUGGAUAUUUGCAUGUACCCUAUGAAUAAGCAUCGGCGUACUUCGUGCCAGCAGCCGCGGUAAUACGGAGGAUGCGAGCGGUAUCCGGAUUUUUUGGGUUUAAAGGGGGCGUAGGUUGUUUUUUAAGUCAGCGGUGAAAGUUUGUGGCUCAACCAUAAUAUUGCCGUUGAAACUGGAAGACUUGAGUGUGUUUGAGGUAGGCGGAAUGCGUGGUGUAGCGGUGAAAUGCAUAGAUAUCACGCAGAACCCCGAUUGCGAAGGCAGCUUACUAAGCCAUAACUGACACUGAAGCACGAAAGCGUGGGGAUCGAACAGGAUUAGAUACCCGGGUAGUC
rnacentral:rRNA from 1 species